rnacentral:lncRNA from 1 species
CUGAGUGGCCAAUCCGGAGGGCCUGCUUAAGUGGGCACAAGUGCGUCCAAAUAGGUUGGAAAAAAUGUCAAAUCAGAGUAGGCACAUACAAGAUGUGAUGUUUCUCUUUUUAUAGACUGCUAUAUGAGAUGCUCUUUUCUGAAGCCAGUGGAUUGGGCAUCUCUGAUUUCUUGUUCACCUAGAGGACUUUGUUUUCAGGGCAGGAUAAAUGCUUGUUUAUUCUCAUGCAUGCAUGCUCUCCCUCCCUCUCUCAUUGAGCGUGAUGUUUUCGUGGCCCCUUGGUGCUUGAGACCUGGCUCAUAGGAAGCUGAACUCAGAAUCAAAACUUCUCCUGAGGUGCCACCUAGCAUCACUAACCCCAGAGAUGACCGGGGUAGCCCUGUUAACACUACACAAAUAAAAUAUGUCACCAGAACAUUUCACUGAGAUGAGGAAUUUAUUUCCAUGAUUCUCUAAGGUUCAACUAUAGUACAUGCUGCUUUUUCCUACUGGGCAGCAAACAUGUUUUACUAAACUC